ACGUCGACGUCAUCGCAGCAGGAAGCGAAGGCCGCGCCCCCUCAGCCGCAAGUCAGCAUCCACGCAGGCCGCCAGCGCAGACAUGAAUCGGCUACUCGUGAGCGUGCUGAUGGCCGCUUUGAGUCUCGGAAACGGACAGGAAAUGGUGCGCCAGCCAAAAGGCCACGUCCACGCCGUGGAGGGCGAAAAGGUGACGCUGGACUGCAGCUUCGACAAGUCUCAGAUCACCGACUACAUCUUCUGGUACAAACAGGAACCGAACGCAGCACCUGAUCUUGUUUUGAGAGUCUCGAAGUUCGCGCAGGCCAAGACGGAGAAGAAGUACGCCGACAGGUUCGGUUCCAGCGUGGACGCCAGCGCCCGGCACACUCCUCUGCAUAUCGAGAGCGUGAAGCCGAGCGACUCCGGAGUCUACCACUGCGCCCUGCGGCCCACGCUGACACAUUCGCCGGCGUGCCUGUACAAAAAGAGUUGGGGGGGUGGUCUCACGAGAUUUGACGAGUCAGGCGUGGAAAAGGCCCGCCCACUCGCGACGGCUGACGCUUCACACUGGCACAGCGCCUCCGAAUUCCGUCGACAAAAACAACAGGCUGGCGCAGCCGCUUCGGAGCGCAGAAAUAUGUUCAUGGCUCGCACGAAGGGGUUUCUCACGGGCCACAUUGCGGUUACGGUUUCCCUCGGGGGGCCGUUAUGACUGUGAAACCAGAAAAAUCUUAUAUCUUAUGUCUCGAAUCCUCAUGAACUAGUUUUGUCAUCAUAAAUCUAGGGUCAUGGGUUUUUCAACUUUUGCUGAUGUUUGGGAACACAAAACAUGCUUACAAUCGCACAGGAUUAUCAUUAAUAUGACACGACAAUUUGAUAUUUUGAAAAGAUUUUGACAAAAAUGUGACUUGAUACAGAUGAAUAACCAUCGAGGGCCACGUGACGUCACAUGCUGGGCCCGAUCUGGCCCCCGGGCCUGGAGUUUGACACCUGUGCUCUGGCAUGUAGUUAUCUGGAGCAAGUACUCGUGAGGUGGUAUCAUUUUUCCAAGUUAUAGUACAGCUAUUUGAUUGAUAGAAUGUGUUCAUAUGCUGCCAUUGAAACAAAUGAGAUCAUCGCACCGUCACCGAGCGCAAACUGAACCCGAACCGGCUGCACAGGAGUCAGGUGCGAGACCAGCGGCCUAUAAAUAUGUUUUGAUAAAUCAUCCAGAGCAGUAAGAGGACACGUGUGUGCGACCCCGACACGGCUCUGCGGUUGCCAAUCACGCGGAAGCAACUUCCUGCCUGAGUUGGAAACGCACCAAACAAGCGAGACGUGGCUCCGCCUUCUCAUCAGCAGCAAUGAGGUCACAUGACUGAAUAUCACAGAUAUCAACAUAAAAUACCACGCUGGCAUUUUCAGGUAUGGG